AUUGAACGCUGGCGGCAGGCCUAACACAUGCAAGUCGAGCGGCAGCGGGAAAGUAGCUUGCUACUUUUGCCGGCGAGCGGCGGACGGGUGAGUAAUGCCUGGGAAAUUGCCCAGUCGAGGGGGAUAACAGUUGGAAACGACUGCUAAUACCGCAUACGCCCUACGGGGGAAAGCAGGGGACCUUCGGGCCUUGCGCGAUUGGAUAUGCCCAGGUGGGAUUAGCUAGUUGGUGAGGUAAUGGCUCACCAAGGCGACGAUCCCUAGCUGGUCUGAGAGGAUGAUCAGCCACACUGGAACUGAGACACGGUCCAGACUCCUACGGGAGGCAGCAGUGGGGAAUAUUGCACAAUGGGGGAAACCCUGAUGCAGCCAUGCCGCGUGUGUGAAGAAGGCCUUCGGGUUGUAAAGCACUUUCAGCGAGGAGGAAGGGUUGAUGCCUAAUACGUAUCAACUGUGACGUUACUCGCAGAAGAAGCACCGGCUAACUCCGUGCCAGCAGCCGCAGUGACAC
rnacentral:rRNA from 1 species